AUUGAACGCUGGCGGCAUGCCUAACACAUGCAAGUCGAACGGAUACAGGCCGCUUGCUCCUGGCGUCAGCGGAGGGCGGGUGUGUAAUGCCGGAGAGUCUCCCGGCGAGGGGGGUAUAACGUCCAGAGAGUAGCUCUAAUACCACAUGCGUCCUGGAGGAGAACGGGGGGGAGCAUCGGACCUCGCGCUAUCAGCUGAGCCUAUGUCGGAUUAGAUAGUUGGUGGGGUAAAGGCCUACCAAGGCGACGAUCCGUAACUGGUCUGAGAGGAUGAUCAGCCACACUGGAACUGAGACACGGCCCAGACUCCUACGGGAGGCAGCAGUGGGGAAUAUUGGACAAUGGGCGCAAGCCUGAUCCAGCAAUGCCGCGUGCAGGAAGAAGGCCUUCGGGUUGUAAAGUGCUUUUGUACGGGACGAAGCGGCGCUAGUUAAUACCCUGCUGUAAUGACGGUACCGAAAGAAUAAGCACCGGCUAACUACGUG
rnacentral:rRNA from 1 species